CCUUCUGUGUCUGUGGAACUGGUCCCAGGGCCUGUCACAGCUGACAAGGUCUGCAGAUGUGUAAGAGUGCCGUGUAAAACCGCCUGGCGUUUGCAUACUGCUGGAAACUUCCUGCGUGCUGAUCAUGUCCAGGUGACUCACAGUACCCAAAACAAUAGAAAUGCCAUGAUCUUCACCGGAACACCUCUGGGAUAUCCUGUUGUUGCCCUGUGUCAUAGAGACCUUGCAGCUUUGGUUCUGAAGAACCAGUCUCUUCACGUGCUCCAGCAGGUAUGGCAGAGGAAAGUGUUUAUACUGCUGCAGCGGCUGAGCUCAAGAUGGAGACGAGAGACUAUGUAGGAGCCUGGACAGGUAUGACUAUGAUUUAGCCAAAACAAACACCCCGUUCUGAAGUGGAGUGAAUACCACAGAAUCCACCUAUGUGGCACAUAGAGCGCUUGCAGU